GAUGAACGCUAGCUACAGGCUUAACACAUGCAAGUCGAGGGGUAACGAGAGGGAAGCUUGCUUUCCUUGUCGACGACCGGCGCACGGGUGAGUAACGCGUAUCCAACCUGCCCCCAACUAGGGAAUAACCUUGCGAAAGUAAGACUAAUACCCUAUAAUUUCCUCAGAUGUCAUCUGACGAGGAAUAAAGAUUUAUCGGUUGUGGAUGGGGAUGCGUCUGAUUAGCUUGUUGGCGGGGUAACGGCCCACCAAGGCAACGAUCAGUAGGGGUUCUGAGAGGAAGGUCCCCCACAUUGGAACUGAGACACGGUCCAAACCCCUACGGGAGGCAGCAGUGAGGAUUAUUGGUCAAUGGGCGGAAGCUUGGACCAGCCAAGUAGCGUGCAGGAUGACGGCCCUAUGGGUUGUAAACUGCUUUUAUACAGGAAUAAAGUUAGCCACGUGUGGUUAUUUGUAGGUACUGUAUGAAUAAGGACCGGCUAAUUCCGUGCCAGCCGCCGCCGUAA
rnacentral:rRNA from 1 species